UCGGAUUGACAAUAGUUUGAGAAGGUAGCUUCCCUGAACUUUGAGAGUCCAAUCGACCAACUGUCGUAGCAAGUUGACUCAUUUGAUUUUCUAGAUUAUGGAUGGAAGUCCUUGUCUCUUGCUGGAAUUGUUGUGUUUGAUUCAUGAAUGCCUUGAACAUGUCAUCAAGAGAUGUUCCAGAAUUAACAGGAGCAGCUUGUCUAGGUUGGUACUGUGGUUGAGCUGGUUGAAAACUUUGCUGCCCAUUUGGGAAAACACCUUGCACUGGUGGCCUAGUACCUCCAUAGCUCAAAUUGGG
rnacentral:lncRNA from 1 species